AUGGAUUGGAAUCCAAAGGUGCUAUGUUGGAACGUGAGGGGGUUGAAUAACCCAGCGAAGAGGAAUGCGGUAAGGGAGUUUGUGGUGGAAGCCAAAGUGAACCUAGUGUGCUUGCAAGAAAUGAAACUUGAUGUAAUUGAUCCUUUUAUUGCCCUGCAAUGUUUGGGGUCAUCUUAUGAUGGCUUCGCCUACUUACCGGCAUCUGACACAUGUGGUGGGAUUCUUUUGGGGUGGGAUACGAUAGUGUUGGAGGUGGAUAACAUGGCCAUGGAUACUCAUUCCCUUACGGGGCUGCUGCACAUUAAGGAAGGGUCGACAUGGUGGGUGACAGUGGUUUAUGGACCGCAAGGGGAUGAUGCGAAGAUGCAGUUUCUAGUUGAGUUACACAAUAGGCGUGCCAUUUGCUCGGGGCCUUGGAUGCUGCUCAGGGACUUUAAUAUGAUCAUACGGGUGGAUGAGAAGAGAAAUAACAAUCUGAACCGGAGGAUUAUGAGAAGAUUCAAAGAUUUUGUGGAUGAUUGCGAGUUGAAGGAACCUUACAUGCAUGGGAGGCAUUUUACGUGGUCGAACAAAAGGGAGCAGCCGAUGCUAACAAAAAUUGAUCGUGUGCUUUUUUCGGUGGAUUGGGAUCUAACUUACCCGGAUGUGUUGUUGCAAGCUCUCUCUACAAACAUUUCGAACCAUACCCUCCUACACUUAACCAACUCCGCCCCUUUUUGCGUGAAGAAAAAGUUUCGCUUUGAGAUGUAUUGGCUAAAGCUGGAUGGGUUUGAGUAG
rnacentral:rRNA from 1 species